rnacentral:rRNA from 1 species
AUUGAACGCUGGCGGCAUGCCUUACACAUGCAAGUCGAACGGCAGCACGGGAGCAAUCCUGGUGGCGAGUGGCGAACGGGUGAGUAAAGUAUCGGAACGUACCUUUCAGUGGGGGAUAACGUAGCGAAAGUUACGCUAAUACCGCAUAUUCUGUGAGCAGGAAAGCAGGGGAUCGCAAGACCUUGCGCUGAUUGAGCGGCCGAUAUCAGAUUAGCUAGUUGGUGGGGUAAAGGCCUACCAAGGCGACGAUCUGUAGCGGGUCUGAGAGGAUGAUCCGCCACACUGGAACUGAGACACGGUCCAGACUCCUACGGGAGGCAGCAGUGGGGAAUUUUGGACAAUGGGGGCAACCCUGAUCCAGCCAUGCCGCGUGAGUGAAGAAGGCCUUCGGGUUGG